rnacentral:rRNA from 1 species
GGUUUAUUGAUUUUAAUAAUAAAUUUAUUCUGCCCAUUGAAUUUUAAAAAUUUUAAAGGCUGCAGUAUAUUAACUGUACAAAGGUAGCAAAAUCAAUAGUUUUUUAAUUGGAAACUUGUAUGAAAGAAUUAAUAAAAUAUAAAUUGUCUCAAAUUAAUUAUAUUAAAUUUAAAUUAGAAGUUAAAAUGCUUUUAUAAUUUUAUAAGACGAUAAGACCCUAAGAAUUUAAUAUUUAUUAUUUAAUUUAUUAAAUUUUUUUAUGAAUAAAAUUUAAUAAUAAAUGAUUUUAUUGGGAGGGUAAUUAAAAAUUUAAACUUUAAUUUUUUAUAAACUUUGAUAUUUGAAUAUUAAUGAUUAUUUUUAUAGUUAUAAGAAAAAAUUACCUUAGGGAUAACAGCGUAAUAAUUUUGGAGAGUUCAUAUUGAUAGAAUUGUUUGCGACCUCGAUGUUGAAUUAAAAUAAAAAUUGAAUGUAGAUAUUUAAUAUUUUAGUCUGUUCGACUAUUGAAAUUUUACA